AUUGAACGCUGGCGGCAGGCCUAACACAUGCAAGUCGAACGAGUGGCGGACGGGUGAGUAAUGUCUGGGAACCUGCCUGAUGUAGGGGGAUAACUACUGGAAACGGUAGCUAAUACCGCAUACCAUCAGAUGUGCCCAGAUGGGCUUAGCUAGUUGGUGGGGUAACGGCUCACCAAGGCGACGAUCCCUAGCUGGUCUGAGAGGAUGACCAGCAACACGGGAAAUGAGACACGGUCUAAACUCCUACGGGAGGCAGGAGUGGGGAAUAUUGCACGAUGGGCGCAAGCCUGAUGCAGCCAUGCCGCGUAUAUGAAGAAGGCCUUCGGGUUGUAAAGUACUUUCAGCGGGGAGGCGUUACCCGCAGAAGAAGCACCGGCUAACUCCGUGCCAGCAGCCGCGGUAAUUC
rnacentral:rRNA from 1 species